CCUACGGGAGGCAGCAGUGAGGAAUAUUUGUCAAUGGUCGGGAGACUGAACCAGCCAAGCCGCGUGAGGGAGGAAGGUACAGAGUAUCGUAAACCUCUUUUGUCAGGGAACAAAGACUGGGACGCGUCCCCGGAGGAGUGUACCUGAAGAAAAAGCAUCGGCUAACUACGAGCCAGCAGCCGCGGUAAUACGGAGGAUGCGAGCGUUAACCGGAUUUCUUGGGUUGAAAGGGGGCGCAGGGGGUCUGUUAAGUCAGCGGUCAAAGCCCGGGGCUCAACCCCGGCCCGCCGUUGAAACUGGCAGUCUCGAGUUGGAGAGAAGUAUGCGGAAUGCGCGGUGUAGCGGUGAAAUGCAUAGAUAUCGCGCAGAACUCCGAUUGCGAAGGCAGCAUGCCGGCUCCACACUGACGCUGAGGCACGAAAGCGUGGGUAUCGAACAGGAUUAGAUACCCGUGUAGUC
rnacentral:rRNA from 1 species